GCCUUCGUGGCGUAGUGGUCAGCGCGCUCGGCGCAUAUUCGAGUGGUCCGCGGUUCAAGAUCAGGCGAGGGCA
rnacentral:tRNA from 1 species